rnacentral:SRP_RNA from 1 species
GCUGAGCUCGGUAGCGUGAGCUUGUAACCCAAGCGGGAGCAUUAAAGUGGUUGGACGUUGGCCCAGUUCCGACAGGUGGGAUCUGACAGAGAGUAAUUUGCCGCAGGCUGAGGCUUGAGCGAAGGCCCGUUCCGAUAGAUGUCGCCCGUUCCAAGUAGGGAGUUGAGGCAUGGGGCUUGAGCGAAGGCUGAGGCUUCUUGGUUCUUAGAGCGGAGGGCACCGCGUCAGGCUGGCUUCACAGAGCAGCGACAAUCUCCCGCUCCCGUCGGUGGAAGGAUAACGAGUCGGUACUCCGCUGAAUCCACUCAUCGCCCUAGGAAUUGUUCCCAAUCGGACGACCACUUUU